rnacentral:rRNA from 1 species
UUGAAUUGAAGAGUUUGAUCAUGGCUCAGAUUGAACGCUGGCGGCAGGCUUAACACAUGCAAGUCGAACGGUAGCAGGAGAAAGCUUGCUUUCUUGCUGACGAGUGGCGGACGGGUGAGUAAUGCUUGGGAAUCUGGCUUAUGGAGGGGGAUAACGACGGGAAACUGUCGCUAAUACCGCGUAUUAUCGGAAGAUGAAAGUGCGGGACUGAGAGGCCGCAUGCCAUAGGAUGAGCCCAAGUGGGAUUAGGUAGUUGGUGGGGUAAAGGCCUACCAAGCCAGCGAUCUCUAGCUGGUCUGAGAGGAUGACCAGCCACACUGGAACUGAGACACGGUCCAGACUCCUACGGGAGGCAGCAGUGGGGAAUAUUGCGCAAUGGGGGGAACCCUGACGCAGCCAUGCCGCGU